rnacentral:tRNA from 1 species
GCCCGGGUGGCUCAGUCGGUUGAGCGUCUGACUUCGGCUCAGGUCAUGAUCUCACAGCUCGUGAGUUCGAGCCCCACAUCGGGCU